rnacentral:rRNA from 1 species
AUGGCUGUAGCUCCCACAGGUGCCACUCGGUGUCCCGAAGCUUGCAAACUUGAUACUGCUGAUGACCUGACCUUCUUUGGGGCAUUCCAGACGAAGUGCUGGAUAUCUUGCUUGGGUCACCACCAAACUGCUCGAAAAGGACUAUAUCAUUGCUGCCUGGUUGGAGAAACGAACGGGGCACAUGAUACCUGUUUAACAAGGUAA